rnacentral:rRNA from 1 species
UUGGAGGGCAAGUCUGGUGCCAGCAGCCGCGGUAAUUCCAGCUCCAAUAGCGUAUAUUAAAGUUGUUGCAGUUAAAAAGCUCGUAGUUGAAUUUCGGAGUUUGUCGGUUGGUCGGGCUUCACUGUCCGCACUGGCCUGAUGGAUUCCUACCUUCUGAAUAACCAGCAUGCUAUUAAGUUAGUGCGUUGGGGAAGCAGAGCUAUUGCCUUGAAAAAAUUAGAGUGCUUAAAGCAGGCUUACGCUUGAAUAGAUUAGCAUGGAAUAAUAAAAUAGGACGGCAUGGUUCUAUUUUGUUGGUUUCUAGGAUCACCGUAAUGAUUAAUAGGGAUAGUUGGGGGCAUUAGUAUUCAAUUGUCAGAGGUGAAAUUCUUGGAUUUAUUGAAGACUAACUUCUGCGAAAGCAUUUGCCAAGGAUGUUUUCAUUAAUCAAGAACGAAAGUUAGGGGAUCGAAGACGAUCAGAUACCGUCGUAGUCUUAACCAUAAACUAUGCCGACUAGGGGUCGGACGAUGUUAAUUUUUUAAUGACUCGUUCGGCGCCUUACGGGAAAC